GGUUCGAUCAUGGCUCAGAUUGAACGCUGGCGGGGUGCUUUACACAUACAAGUCGAACGGCAACACGGACUUCGGUCUGGUGGCGGUGGCGAACGGAUGAGUAAUGUAUCGGAACGUGCCUAGUAGCGGGGGAUAACUACGCGAAAGCGUAGCUAAUACCGCAUGCCCUUCGGGGAAAGCGGGGGACCUUCGGGCCUCGCACUAUUGGAAACGGCCGAUAUCGGAUUAGCUAGUUGGUGGGGUAACGGCUCACCGGGCGACGAUCCGUAGCUGGUUUGAGAGGACGACCAGCCACGCUGGGACUGAGACACGGCCCAGACUCCUACGGGAGGCAGCAGUGGAGAAUUUUGGACAAUGGGGAAACCUGAUCAGCCAUCCCGCGUGUGCGAUGAAGGCCUUCGGGUUUGUAAGCACUUUUGGCAGAAAGAAACGGCACGGGAUAAUACCCCGUGCAACUGACGGUACCUGCAGAAUAAGCACCGGCUAACUUCGUGCCAACAGCCAUGACGCCGCAACGGUGCCAAGCGUUAAUCGGAAUUACUGGGCGUAAAGCGUGCGCAGGCGGUUCGGAAGAAAGAUGUGAAAUCCCAGAGCUUAACUUUGGAACUGCAUUUUAACUACCGAGCUAGAGUGUGUCAGAGGAGGUGGAAUUCCGCGUGUAGCAGUGAAAUGCGUAGAUAUGCGGAGGAACACCGAUGGCGAAGGCAACCUCCUGGGAUAACACUGACGCUCAUGCACGAAAGCGUGGGGAGCAAACGGGAUUAGAUACCCUGGUAGUCCACGCCUAAACGAUGUCAACUAGCUGUUGGGGCCUUCGGGCCUUGGUAGCGCAACUAACGCGUGAAGUUGACCGCCUGCGGGAAGUAGUCGCAAGAUUAAAACUCAAGGAAUUGACGGGGACCCGCACAACAGUGGAUGAUAUGGAUUAAUUCGAUGCAACGCGAAAACCUUACCUACCCUUGACAUGUCUGGAAUCCCGAAGAGAUUUGGGAGUGCUCGCAAGAACGGAACACAAGGUGCUGCAUGGCUGUCGUCAGCUCGUGUCGUGAGAUGUUGGGUUAAGUCCCGCAACAGGCGCAACCCUUGUCAUUAGUUGCUACGAAAGGGCACUCUAAUGAGACUGCCGGUGACAAACCGGAGGAAGGGGGUAAAGUUGACGUCGAAGUCUCAUGGCCCUUAUGGGUAGGAACUCCGCACGUCAUACAAUGGUCGGGACAGAGGGUCGCCAACCCGCGAGGGGGAGCCAAUCCCAGAAACCCGAUCGUAGCAGUCCCGGAUCACAGUCUGCAACUCGACUGCGUGAAGUCAGAAUCGCUAGUAAUCGCGGAUCAGCAUGUCGCCCGGUGAAUACGUUCCGGGUCUUGUACACACCGCCCGUCACACCAUGGGAGUGGGUUUUACCAGAAGUAGUUAGCCUAACCGUAAGGAGGGCGAUUACCACGGUAGGAUUCAUGACUGGGGUGAAGUCGUAACAAAGAUGG
rnacentral:rRNA from 1 species